UACGUAGGUGGCAAGCGUUGUCCGGAUUUAUUGGGUUUAAAGGGUGCGUAGGCGGCUUUGUAAGUCAGUGGUGAAAUAUGGCAGCUCAACUGUCAAGGUGCCAUUGAUACUGCAGAGCUUGAGUACAGAUGAGGUAGGCGGAAUUGACGGUGUAGCGGUGAAAUGCUUAGAUAUCGUCAAGAACACCGAUAGUGAAGACAGCUUACUAGGCUUAUACUGACGCUGAGGCACGAAAGUGUGGGGAUCAAACAGG
rnacentral:rRNA from 1 species